GGGAGCAGCCACCCCAACCACAAGCAAAUCUGCCACAAAGCCUCCCCCCCUUACUGAGCCAAUCAACCAGGGGGUCGACAGGCUUAAUAUAGCACAGGACUUCAAAGCACAGACUCUGAUGUCAGUCACACCCUGGGUCAACUCCUCGUUCUGCCUUGUUUUAGCUGCGUGAAUGCCUUCUUAGCAGCCUUCUACCUCCUGGCUCUCCAUCUGCUUCUCUAGGAAGGAGGAUGGAUGAGGACCCAUGGGACGACAUCAGGCAACCUGACACCAGAUACAUCAGUGGGGUGGACCCCACAGGGCUAUGGCUGUCCCAGCUGCCACUGGCCUCUCCCCACCUGCCCUUGGG
rnacentral:lncRNA from 1 species